CUGGUGUCAAGCGAUUCUCCCUCUCAUCUUGUCCCCACAAGCGCUGGGAUUACAGGCGUGAGCAACCACACCCAGCCCCAGCUUUCUCUUUGUGAUGACUCUGGGGGAACUUUGUUUCACUUCUCUUGCUCAACCUUUCAGCAACAUUUGAAACCAAUGACCACUCCCUUCUUGGAAUUCACCAAAGGAAAUGUUUCGCUUUUGUUGCCC
rnacentral:lncRNA from 10 species